GGGUAUAGCUCAGUGGUAGAGGAUCUGCCUUGCAUGCAGAAGGCUCUGGGUUCAAUCCCAGGCAUCUCCA